rnacentral:rRNA from 1 species
UCGCUCCUACCGAUUUCGAGUGAUUCGGUGAACCAUUUGGACCGUAGUAGCUUCGUGCUACUGUGGAAAAUCUAGUAAACCAUAUCACUUAGAGGAAGGAG